rnacentral:rRNA from 1 species
GGGAGCUUGCUCCCGGAUGUUAGCGGCGGACGGGUGAGUAACACGUGGGUAACCUGCCUGUAAGACUGGGAUAACUCCGGGAAACCGGAGCUAAUACCGGAUAGUUCCUUGAACCGCAUGGUUCAAGGAUGAAAGACGGUUUCGGCUGUCACUUACAGAUGGACCCGCGGCGCAUUAGCUAGUUGGUGGGGUAAUGGCUCACCAAGGCGACGAUGCGUAGCCGACCUGAGAGGGUGAUCGGCCACACUGGGACUGAGACACGGCCCAGACUCCUACGGGAGGCAGCAGUAGGGAAUCUUCCGCAAUGGACGAAAGUCUGACGGAGCAACGCCGCGUGAGUGAUGAAGGUUUUCGGAUCGUAAAGCUCUGUUGUUAGGGAAGAACAAGUGCGAGAGUAACUGCUCGCACCUUGACGGUACCUAACCAGAAAGCCACGGCUAACUACGUGCCAGCAGCCGCGGUAAUACGUAGGUGGCAAGCGUUGUCCGGAAUUAUUGGGCGUAAAGGGCUCGCAGGCGGUUUCUUAAGUCUGAUGUGAAAGCCCCCGGCUCAACCGGGGAGGGUCAUUGGAAACUGGGAAACUUGAGUGCAGAAGAGGAGAGUGGAAUUCCACGUGUAGCGGUGAAAUGCGUAGAGAUGUGGAGGAACACCAGUGGCGA